CUUCCUGAAAAGAGUUUCUAUUUAUUUUUCUCUACUGUAUAUAAAAACGUUCUUUCUCUAUCCGAUGUUCAACUAUCAAAAAAUUUCUCCAGAAAAAAAAAAUUAAUAGAUCAACAGUAUCCUCUAUUUUUCUCUGCAAGUCAUGUCCAAACUUUUGUAUUCGUAUUUGUUCAUCUCCAUGCUUCUUCUUUCAGCUUGUUUGGCUUUGGCAAUUUCACAGGGAGAGGGACCAAAAUUGUGUACUCGCGCCAUAAAUCUUAUCAGGCCGUGCAGUUUUCCAAAAUGCAAAGAACUUUGUUUUAAAACGUACGAAGGGGAUGGCCAUUGUCAAGGACCUCACAAUUGUGGUUGUGUUUACCUUUGCUAAGAUAUAUCUCGUAUGUUAUUAAACUGAAUUAAUUAUGAGAAAACCAUUUAAUUUCUAAUUUUCUAUGGGUAUUGGCUAAUUAGAAUUU